ACUAAUGGGAUUGGAGUCUUGAU
rnacentral:siRNA from 1 species